AUUGAACGCUGGCGGCAUGCUUUACACAUGCAAGUCGAACGGUAACAGGCCGCAAGGUGCUGACGAGUGGCGAACGGGUGAGUAAUGCAUCGGAACGUGCCCAGUCGUGGGGGAUAACUACUCGAAAGAGUAGCUAAUACCGCAUACGAUCUAUGGAUGAAAGCGGGGGACCGUAAGGCCUCGCGCGAUUGGAGCGGCCGAUGUCAGAUUAGGUAGUUGGUGGGGUAAAGGCUCACCAAGCCAACGAUCUGUAGCUGGUCUGAGAGGACGACCAGCCACACUGGGACUGAGACACGGCCCAGACUCCUACGGGAGGCAGCAGUGGGGAAUUUUGGACAAUGGGCGCAAGCCUGAUCCAGCAAUGCCGCGUGCAGGAAGAAGGCCUUCGGGUUGUAAACUGCUUUUGUACGGAACGAAACGGCUCUGGUUAAUAACCGGGGCUAAUGACGGUACCGUAAGAAUAAGCACCGGCUAACUACGUG
rnacentral:rRNA from 1 species